rnacentral:rRNA from 1 species
AACGAACGCUGGCGGCAGGCCUAACACAUGCAAGUCGAACGAGAAGCCACCUUCGGGUGGUGGACAGUGGCAGACGGGUGAGUAACGCGUGGGAACGUGCCUUUCGGUUCGGGAUAACCCAGGGAAACUUGGGCUAAUACCGGAUACGCCCUUCGGGGGAAAGAUUCAUUGCCGAAAGAUCGGCCCGCGUCGGAUUAGCUAGUUGGUGGGGUAAAAGCCUACCAAGGCGACGAUGCGUAGCCGACCUGAGAGGGUGAUCGGGCCACAAUGGGAACUCGAGACACGGUCCAUACUCCUACGGGAGGCAG